rnacentral:rRNA from 1 species
CGCGUAGGCGGCGAUACAAGUCAGAGGUGAAAGCUAUAGGCUCAACCUGUAAAUGGCCUUUGAAACUGUAUUGCUUGAGUAUUGCAGAGGAAAGUGGAAUUCAUGGUGUAGCGGUGAAAUGCGUAGAUAUCAUGGAGAACACCUAUGGCGAAGGCAGCUUUCUGGGCAAAUACUGACGCUGAGGCGCGAAAGCUAGGGUAGCGAACA